UCUUCGGUAGCUCAGUGGGUAGAAGCCUGGCUUAACACUCCCUCACAUUGUGUGGCCAGAGACGUGGGUUCAAUCCCCGCCCGGACAG